AUACGUAGGGUGCGAGCGUUGUCCGGAAUUACUGGGCGUAAAGAGCUCGUAGGUGGUUUGUCGCGUCGUCUGUGAAAUUCCGGGGCUUAACUCCGGGCGUGCAGGCGAUACGGGCAUAACUUGAGUACUGUAGGGGAGACUGGAAUUCCUGGUGUAGCGGUGAAAUGCGCAGAUAUCAGGAGGAACACCGGUGGCGAAGGCGGGUCUCUGGGCAGUAACUGACGCUGAGGAGCGAAAGCAUGGGUAGCGAACAGGAUUAGAUACCCUGGUAGUCUAUGCCGUAAACGGUGGGCGCUAGGUGUAGGGGUCUUCCACGACUUCUGUGCCGUAGCUAACGCAUUAAGCGCCCCGCCUGGGGAGUACGGCCGCAAGGCUAAAACUCAAAGGAAUUGACGGGG
rnacentral:rRNA from 1 species